rnacentral:rRNA from 1 species
GUAGUAGCAAAUACUCUAGCGAGACCCUGGAGGGCUGAUGUGGAGAAGGGUUUCGUGUGAACAGCCGUUGCACACGAGUCAGUCGAUCCUAAGCCCUAGGGGAAACCCGAUGUAUGCCGGCCGUUGGCCGCGUCGGGCGAAAGGGAAUCCGGUCCCCAUUCCGGAACCCGGUCGCGGAACCGUUUCACGUCGGGCCCGCGCCUUUCGGCGCAAGCUCGUCGGGGUAACCCAACAUGACCCGGAGAAGCCGUCGGGAGGUCUGGGAAGAGUUUUCUUUUCUGUUUGAGCGUUCGGGUUCCCUGGAAUUGCCUAGCGCAGAGAGAGGGAAUGGAACGCGUAGAGCACCGCAGUUGCGGCGGUGUCCAGACAUGCCCUUCGGACCUUGAAAAUCCGGGGACGGGCCACGUGGAGGUGUCGCGCCGGUUCGUACCCAUAUCCGCAGCAGGUCUCCAAGGUGAAGAGCCUCUAGUCGAUAGACGAAUGUAGGUAAGGGAAGUCGGCAACUUGGAUCCGUAACUUCGGGAUAAGGAU